UACGGGAGGCAGCAGUGGGGAAUAUUGCACAAUGGGCGCAAGCCUGAUGCAGCCAUGCCGCGUGUAUGAAGAAGGCCUUCGGGUUGUAAAGUACUUUCAGUCGUGAGGAAGGUGUUAAGGUUAAUAACCUUAGCAAUUGACGUUAGCGACAGAAGAAGCACCGGCUAACUCCGUGCCAGCAGCCGCGGUAAUACGGAGGGUGCGAGCGUUAAUCGGAAUUACUGGGCGUAAAGGGCACGCAGGCGGUUAAUUAAGUUGGAUGUGAAAUCCCCGGGCUUAACCUGGGAAUGGCAUUCAAGACUGGUUAGCUAGAGUCUUGUAGAGGGGGUAGAAUUCCAUGUGUAGCGGUGAAAUGCGUAGAGAUGUGGAGGAAUACCGGUGGGCGAAGGCGGCCCCUGGGACAAAGGACUGACGCUCAUGUGCGAAAGCGUGGG
rnacentral:rRNA from 1 species